rnacentral:lncRNA from 1 species
GAAAAGAAAACUCCUGGAACCUUACCACCCAACGUUCACUUCAAUAUGAGCAUCCAAGAUGGCAACCACAUCAGCAGUGGCAGCUGCCCAGCCCGUGUUGCGUGCUUGAGCAAGACCUCUUCUCUCACUAUGCCGUAUCAUUUUCAACAAUCCAGGAUACUUCUGGUUGUAAAGCUUAAUCUUCUCAUUCAAGGAUACCUUUAGUUCUUCUGCCAACCAAACACACACCCACAGAAACACUGAGUGCAAUAAUCAAUGUGGUACAGAAAUUUGAUACUAUAAUAGUGGUUGGAUUACCAUUGUAGGAUAAGCAAUUCUUCAACCUUGACCUGUACCAUAGCUUCCUGUGGAUGUCAAACUCUAGUUGGAUCACUAUCGGAUUCCAUGCCACUUCCUAUUUGGGGACGGUUUCUUCAACUUGGAAAUAGCAGCUCAAGUUGCUCACCAUUUGAGCUGAAAUCAUCCACCAAGAUGAUCUCUUUCAGCAACCGAGGUGGGGUCCGGCUGAUGACACUGGUGAUGGCCCGUUGUAUAAUGGACAGAGAUUCAUCCAUGAAUAUGAUGACGACACCAAGGGAUGGGAGUAGGGAAGGGUAUGACUUCUGAACACACCUAUAAGAAACCAUUUUGAUAAC